GACGAACGCUGGCGGCGUGCUUAACACAUGCAAGUCGAACGGAAAGGCCCAGCUUUUGUGGGGUGCUCGAGUGGCGAACGGGUGAGUAACACGUGAGUAACCUGCCCUUGACUUUGGGAUAACUUCAGGAAACUGGGGCUAAUACCGGAUAGGAGCUCCUGCUGCAUGGUGGGGGUUGGAAAGUUUCGGCGGUUGGGGAUGGACUCGCGGCUUAUCAGCUUGUUGGUGGGGUAGUGGCUUACCAAGGCUUUGACGGGUAGCCGGCCUGAGGGGGUGACCGGCCACAUUGGGACUGAGAUACGGCCCAGACUCCUACGGGAGGCAGCAGUGGGGAAUAUUGCACAAUGGGCGGAAGCCUGAUGCAGCAACGCCGUGUGCGGGAUGACGGCCUUCGGGUUGUAAACCGCUUUCGCCUGUGACGAAGCGUGAGUGACGGUAAUGGGUAAAGAAGCACCGGCUAACUACGUG
rnacentral:rRNA from 1 species